UGGGGAAUAUUGCACAAUGGGCGCAAGCCUGAUGCAGCAACGCCGCGUGAGUGAUGAAGGCUUUCGGGUCGUAAAACUCUGUCCUAAGGGAAGAUAAUGACGGUACCUUAGGAGGAAGCCCCGGCUAACUACGUGCCAGCAGCCGCGGUAAUACGUAGGGGGCAAGCGUUAUCCGGAAUUACUGGGCGUAAAGGGUGCGUAGGUGGCCUGAUAAGUCAGGGGUCAAAGGCAACGGCUCAACCGUUGUAAGCCCCUGAAACUAUCGGGCUUGAGUUCAGGAGAGGAAAGCGGAAUUCCAAGUGUAGCGGUGAAAUGCGUAGAUAUUUGGAGGAACACCAGUGGCGAAGGCGGCUUUCUGGACUGAUACUGACACUGAGGCACGAAAGCGUGGGGAGCAAACA
rnacentral:rRNA from 1 species